GUUUUGUCACGGGAAUCGAUCCGCGGAUUUCCGCCCUGGGCAAUGAGCUCUAGGGCUUCCUCGUCGCGACAGGAAUGCGGGGGAGAGCCGCGGCGGCCCGAGAUCCAGGUACGAGGGUUUCGAUUCGAGCUGCCGGGAGCGCGGCGGUGAUGGCAGCUCUCUUUUCUGAGGUGCCAGGCGACCUCCUCUUCCUUUUUAGGGUUUUGAGGCCAUGAUGGAGGAGCACGAGUGUGCAUGCGGCGAGUCCGUGGCGGCCGCCUCGCCCGACGAGGCCGGGGACGACGCCGCACCGGCUCUGGAAUCGAUCUCCGGGGGCAAAGUGAUGGAGCAGAGAUUGAGCUCGGCUACCGUGGUUUUCGAGGGUAAGGUGGAAACUAGGAUGGACGGGGACGUGGUUGUGGCCGCUAGCGACUCGGUUAAGUCGGAAGAAGGCAGUGAUGGAAGGCAGCCGGACGAGGUGAAAUUGGAGGAGCUCGAGGAGAGCGUCUUGCCGGUGCUCAAGGCGACGCAGCCUCUGAGGGAGUAUAAGAAGCGCAAGAGGGAUGUUAGCGGAGAACUCGACUUCGAGGUUUUGAUGGGGAGCGCGGACAAGAUGCCGGCUCAGCAAGAGUGUGAGGCUUUUCCGGCCGUGUCCGUGGGCUUGAAGCCGGAUCAGCUCAGCUCCACCGAGAGGGUUCGUUUCAAAGAGGUUGUGAAGCGCAAGACGAAGGUUGCCGAGUAUCUGGAAUGCAGGAACUUUAUAUUGCAGCUGUGGACGAAAGAUGUGCGGCGCCAUUUGACUGUCGCGGACUGUGGCGUGAGUGAGGUAGCGCAGCUCAACGAACCGCCUCGAGCUGGACUUGUCCGAAACAUUCAUGAGUUUCUAGACUAUCACGGAUACAUUAACACUGGCAUCGUGAAAAGAGUCAAGUUCGAAGAACAACAGGGUGAAGAAUUCAGGGAAGGGACAGGGGAUGAACCCUUGGGCUUCAUCCACAAAGUACAGGAAAACGGACAUAUUCCUGCUUCAGAUGCCACAACACCAAUGGAUAUAGAUGGCAGCGCAGAUGUUUCAAGUGACAGGGAGAAGGGCCAUGAUAGGAAACGGAUUAUAGUUGUAGGUGGUGGUCCGGCUGGAUUAGUUGCCGCGAGGCAUAUGCAGCGUAUGAACUUCGACGUAAUGAUUCUUGAGGCUCGGGAUAGAGUUGGCGGUCGAGUGUAUACUGAUCGCUCGACGUUUUCAGUGCCGGUAGAUUUGGGAGCUAGCAUUAUUACAGGUGUAGAAGCUGAUGCGGAAAGAAGAGCGGACCCUUCGGCUUUGAUCUGCAGGCAGCUUGGUCUCGGACUAACGUCGGUUCGGGGGGAUUGUCCGCUGUAUGAUAGUGUAACAGGUCGUAAGGUUCCGGCUGACAUAGACGCAGCUCUCGAGGACAAGCUGAAUACUCUACUGGAUGAUACUAUUACCAUAGUGGCUCAAAACAGCGACGCGGCACUACGAAUGUCACUUGAGGAGGGUCUUGAGCAAGCGCUUUCGAAGCGGAAGGGAUUACAUAUACCGAAGAGCACAAUCCUCGACCAAAGUCAAGUUACAGUCGCGGAUGUGACGCAGGCGAAGAUAACUGAGCUUGCGAGCAGUGCUCCAGAUCCUUCGACUGAGGACGGUGUACUGCAUCAACAAGACGGUUUAAGCUGUUCGCUUGAGCUUGAAAGACGAAUCAUGGAUUGGCAUUUUGCGAACCUGGAGUACGGCUGCGCUGCUCAGCUGGAGAAAGUAUCCCUCGCCUACUGGAACCAGGACGAUACUUACGGCGGUUUUGCUGGGCCACACUGCAUGAUAAAGGGCGGGUAUGGCACUUUGGUGGAAGCUUUAGCUCAAGGUUUGGACGUGAAGCUCGGGAGAGUAGUUACAGAAGUUUCAUACACUGCAAAGGACGUCCAUAUCAAAACCGGGAAAAAGAAGCAAGUGAGAGUGAAGACAGAGGAUGGCGAAGUCCACAUGUGCGACGCUGUUCUGGUAACAGUUCCGCUUGGGUGCUUGAAAGCCCAGUCCAUCAAGUUCGUCCCGCAACUACCGUCCUGGAAGUCCGGUUCCAUUAGUCGGCUUGGCUUUGGUACGCUGAACAAGGUCGUGCUCGAAUUCGAGACCGUGUUCUGGGAUGAGAACGUGGAUAUAUUUGGUGCUACUGGGGAAGACACAGAGUCCCGCGGCAGAUGUUUUAUGUUCUGGAAUCUGGUCAAGACAGUCGGUGCUCCGGUUCUGAUAGCGCUCGUAGUGGGGAAAGCUGCAGUGGACGACGCAAAGUCUGGCUCGUCUUUCCUCGUGUCUCAUGCUGUUGAGAUCCUUCGGAAGCUUUACGGUCGUACGAAAGUUCCGGAGCCCAAGACUUUUAAAGUGACAGACUGGGGAUCAGAUCAGUACAGCAGAGGUGCGUAUUCUUACGUAGCUGUUGGUGCUUCUGGCGAAGACUACGAUAUACUGGGACGACCUGUGGAAGAUUGCGUGUUUUUCGCGGGUGAGGCAACUUGCAAGGAGCACCCUGAUACCGUGGGAGGAGCCAUUUUGAGUGGUCUGAAAGAGGCUGUGCGGAUACUUGAUAUUUUGGAAAACAGAGGGGACCUGAUUGAAGAGGCUGAGGAAAUGACUGCCGCACAGAGGCAACCUGACAGCGAGAGAAACGAAGUUAGAGACAUGCAAAUCAGGAUUCAGGCUGCCGAGUAUGCAAACAAUAAGUACAGGGAAGGAAACUCUUUGGAUGGCGAGGAUGAGCCUUUCACGAGAGCGGACCUCUUAAAAGACAUGUUCCGAAACGCUAAGACUACAGCCGGAAAAUUGUUUCUGGCAAAAGAGAUGACCGGACUGUCAGCGUCCUCCGUGAAGGGUUUUGUGGGAACUAAAACUGGACUCUCAAUAUUGAACUCAUGGAUACUGGAUUCUAUGGGAAAGGAUGGAACACAACUCUUACGACUCUGUCUUCGUCUUCUUCUUACCGUAGCUACGGAUAUGCUUGCUGUUCGUCUUUCUGGUAUUGGAAGAACAAUUAAAGAAAAAGUAUGCCAACACACAUCGAGAGAUAUCCGCGCAUUGGCAGGCCAACUGGUGGCGAUGUGGUGCGAGUUUUACCGUCGGGAAAAGGCCAUGCUGAAGCAGUUUAGGAAAAACGUCGUGAAAAAGGAGGACGAUACUGCUGUUUCUUCUGCUCCCGCAUGCUCAUCGUCGCAAAGGGACCACAGCCACGGAAAUGCUGAACAGGCGACCAGUAGACACGAGCAGAAAAACGGUGCUUCGAGUUCAGAAGGUCCGGUAGAAUUUGAAUCCGGAGAAAACGAGCCUCUUAUUUCGGACUUGGAGGCUGCUGCUCGUGCCAGGGCGGAAGCGUGUCAAGCUGCCGCUCUUGCUGCUGCUGAGGCGUAUGCAAAUGCCGAAGCCGAGCGAACAGCUCUCCCUGAACCCCCGAAGAUCUUGUCUUUUCACAAAUUUGCAAAGCGGGAAAAGGUCGUGACGAAAGAUGUUCCAGUGGACCUGAAGAGAAGGAAAUUCCCCGAGGUUCUGAAUCGGAGGCCGAGCGAUGGCUCUCGGAGACUUUCGGGCUUGCCUUUAGAUCUCAGUGGCAGCUGUAGUAACGCAAGUAGUCCGAACGUUGUUCUGCAAGGCGAAGGUAAUUCACAGGUCAUGGGUGAGUAUCUCGGACCGCAGCAUCAGGAACAGGUUAUAGAUGCAGAGAUGGUUGGGAAAGGGACAGCAAACUUCGAAACUUUUAGUGUGGGCGAUAGGCUGAGGGAUGACAGGAAACGACGGGGAUUUCCAUCCGAAUCCUAUGAAGUUAAGGACCGUUGCACUCCGGAUCAGAUCAAGAAGGCUUUAUCAGAGUACGUUGUCCAUUUAUUGACACCUUUGUACAAGACCAGAAAGAUCCAGAAGGACGCGUUCAAAGCCAUCGCAAAAAAGACAACCAUGAAGGUGAUGGAACGAGAUGGGAUACGCGAUACUGACGUAAACAUUUCAGACUAUCUUAACGGCAAGAGGAAGAAUAAGAUAAGAGAACUCGUCGACAAAUUUGUGGAAAAGCACCUCGCGGAGACGAAGCAAUCGGCAGGUUCCCCCGGCAACUAACGGAGACAAUCUCCUCGCAAGGUCGGCUGGACGAUAUGCUCUCAGCUUUUGGCUUGGAAGAGCUUGGAGAGGAGCACUUCCAGAAUAGAUUUGGUGCUCUCCUAUGUUCUAGUCGAGUGGGAUGCAAGCAAGGCCAAAGCUUAGCGUGAUGCUUUCUUCCUGGAGAGGCCGGAUUGCUGGAGCCUUACCUCGUUCAGCUCCGCUGUUGUGGCCUUCACAACCUCUUGUGCUUCUGCCAGUUCGCCUCUCAAGUUCCCUCCUCGACUCUUCUAGCUCUCGCGCCAGGCUAUCCAACAAAUCAUUCGCGCCGGCAAGCUCUUGCAUCGUAUCAAACGCCAGCUGCUGCAGUUUAGCCAGCCCUUCAGCGAUGUUCUCGCUUCCCGUCAGUUUUCAGCUCCUGCUCCACCGCAGCCAGUUUCUAACAAGGUUGAACGAGUCAGAAGAAAAAGGAACAAGAAGACGGGAAUUGUAGCGCCGAGCGCGUGGAUCUCGCGUCCAAGUCCAUGUCCGCUCUAGUUCGGCACGCACAGCCCAUGCAGUAGCUCCGGAACAUCGAGUCGGGAGCUCCAACUCUCGCAACUUUAAAAGUGUCGUGUUCUACUGCCGCUCCUCGGUUUUCUGGUCGCGAGCCAACACGGUGCCAUUAGCGAUGCGUAUAUCCAUCAUCCAUAUCCACGGGAGAUUUUCGUUCGGCCGUCGUUGCUCGACAGACGCGAUCGCGCCAGCUGGAAGCGUGUCCAGUGCCAUCCUCUGCCGCGUGUUAGCUGCCGUGUCGCCUU